UGAACUAUUUCUUCAAGAUUGGAUAGCUGAUGACCCGUCCUUCUGAUUAGCCUUAAGCAGAUUCACAGCCAUAGGAAAACCUCACGGAGUUCCACCUUUUGCUUUCUGCUUGACACCUUUUCUGGCACCCGAGUUAAUCCCGCAGCCAUGUAUGGAAGUGCUCGCUCCGUGGGGAAGGUGGAACCAAGCACUCAGAGCCCUGGGCGCUCCCCGAGGCUUCCCCGUUCUCCUCGCUUAGGUCACCGCCGAACCAACAGCACCGGAGGGAAUUCUGGAAGCACCGUUGGAGGGGGCAGUGGCAAGACCCUUUCAAUGGAGAACAUCCAGUCUUUAAACGCUGCCUACGCCACAUCUGGCCCUAUGUACCUAAGUGACCAUGAAAAUGUUGGCGCGGAAACGCCUAAAAGCACCAUGACACUUGGCCGUUCUGGGGGGCGUCUGCCUUACGGUGUCAGGAUGACGGCCAUGGGAAGUAGCCCCAACAUAGCUAGCAGUGGGGUUGCCAGUGACACGAUCGCGUUCGGAGAGCACCACCUUCCCCCCGUGAGCAUGGCGUCCACCGUGCCUCACUCUCUUCGCCAGGCAAGAGACAACACAAUCAUGGACCUGCAGACUCAGCUGAAGGAAGUGCUAAGGGAAAAUGACCUCCUGCGGAAGGAUGUAGAAGUGAAGGAGAGUAAACUGAGCUCCUCGAUGAAUAGCAUCAAAACCUUCUGGAGCCCGGAACUCAAGAAGGAACGAGCCCUGCGAAAAGACGAAGCUUCCAAAAUCACUAUUUGGAAAGAGCAGUACAGAGUUGUGCAGGAGGAAAACCAGCACAUGCAAAUGACAAUACAGGCCCUCCAGGAUGAACUGCGGAUCCAGCGGGACUUGAACCAACUGUUUCAGCAGGAUAGUAGCAGCAGGACGGGUGAACCUUGUGUGGCAGAGCUGACAGAGGAGAACUUUCAGAGGCUCCAUGCUGAGCACGAGAGGCAAGCCAAAGAACUGUUCCUUCUCCGAAAGACGCUGGAGGAAAUGGAGCUGCGCAUCGAAACUCAGAAGCAAACCCUCAAUGCCCGGGAUGAAUCCAUUAAGAAGCUUCUGGAGAUGUUGCAGAGCAAAGGACUUUCUGCUAAGGCGACUGAGGAAGACCAUGAGAGAACAAGACGACUAGCAGAGGCAGAAAUGCAUGUCCACCAUCUAGAAAGCCUUUUGGAGCAAAAGGAAAAAGAGAACAAUAUGCUGAGAGAGGAGAUGCAUCGGAGAUUUGAGAAUGCCCCUGAUUCUGCCAAAACAAAAGCUCUACAGACUGUUAUCGAAAUGAAGGACUCAAAAAUCUCCUCGAUGGAGCGUGGGCUUCGAGACUUGGAAGAAGAAAUUCAGAUGCUGAAAUCUAAUGGAGCUUUGAGCACUGAAGAACGAGAGGAAGAAAUGAAGCAAAUGGAGGUCUAUCGGAGCCACUCUAAAUUUAUGAAAAAUAAGGUAGAGCAACUGAAGGAGGAACUAAGCUCGAAAGAGGCUCAAGGGGAGGAGCUGAAAAAGCGAGCUGCUGGUCUUCAGGCUGAGAUUGGUCAGGUGAAGCAGGAGCUGUCAAGAAAGGACACAGAACUACUCGCCCUCCAGACCAAGCUCGAAACCCUCACAAAUCAGUUCUCAGAUAGUAAGCAACACAUCGAAGUGCUGAAGGAGUCCUUGACUGCUAAGGAACAGAGGGCUGCCAUACUGCAAACGGAGGUGGAUGCUCUUCGAUUGCGUUUGGAAGAGAAGGAAACCAUGCUGAAUAAGAAGACAAAACAAAUUCAAGACAUGGCUGAGGAGAAGGGGACCCAGGCUGGAGAGAUACAUGACCUAAAGGACAUGUUGGAUGUAAAAGAACGGAAAGUUAAUGUUCUUCAGAAGAAGAUCGAAAAUCUUCAAGAGCAACUUAGAGAUAAGGAGAAGCAGAUGAGCAGCUUGAAAGAACGAGUCAAAUCCUUGCAAGCCGAUACCACCAACACCGACACUGCCUUGACAACUUUGGAGGAGGCUCUGGCUGAAAAAGAACGGACAAUCGAGCGCUUAAAGGAACAGCGAGACAGAGAUGAGCGAGAGAAGCAAGAGGAAAUUGAUAACUACAAAAAAGAUCUUAAGGACUUGAAAGAAAAAGUCAGCCUCUUACAAGGAGACCUUUCAGAGAAAGAGGCCUCACUCUUAGAUCUGAAAGAGCAUGCUUCUUCCCUGGCUUCCUCAGGACUGAAAAAAGACUCUAGGCUUAAGACCAUGGAGAUUGCUUUAGAGCAAAAGAAGGAGGAGUGUCUGAAGAUGGAAUCACAGUUGAAAAAGGCACAUGAGGCAACAUUGGAAGCUAGAGCCAGUCCAGAGAUGAGUGACCGCAUACAACAGUUGGAGAGAGAGAUUGCCAGGUACAAAGAUGAAUCUAGCAAGGCCCAGGCUGAAGUUGAUCGCCUCUUGGAAAUUUUGAAGGAAGUUGAAAAUGAGAAGAAUGAUAAAGACAAGAAGAUUGCUGAGUUGGAAAGGCAAGUGAAAGACCAGAAUAAGAAAGUAGCAAAUCUGAAGCACAAGGAGCAGGUGGAAAAAAAGAAGAGCGCGCAGAUGCUGGAGGAGGCCCGCCGAAGGGAGGAUAAUCUCAACGACAGCUCUCAGCAGCUUCAGGACAGUCUCCGUAAGAAGGAUGACAGAAUCGAAGAACUGGAAGAGGCACUAAGAGAAAGUGUCCAGAUAACCGCAGAGCGAGAAAUGGUGCUAGCACAAGAGGAAUCAGCCAGAACCAAUGCUGAAAAACAGGUGGAGGAGUUGUUGAUGGCUAUGGAGAAGGUAAAGCAGGAACUGGAGUCAAUGAAAGCAAAGCUGUCCUCUACUCAGCAAUCUCUGGCAGAGAAAGAAACUCACUUGACAAAUCUUCGGGCAGAGAGGAGAAAACACUUAGAGGAAGUUCUGGAAAUGAAGCAAGAAGCUCUUUUGGCUGCCAUUAGUGAAAAGGAUGCUAACAUCGCUCUCCUGGAACUGUCUUCCUCAAAGAAAAAGACCCAAGAAGAGGUAGCUGCACUCAAGCGGGAGAAGGAUCGACUGGUCCAGCAGCUUAAGCAACAGACGCAAAAUCGAAUGAAGCUAAUGGCCGACAACUAUGAGGAUGACCACUUCAAAUCCUCUCAUUCCAAUCAAACCAAUCACAAACCCUCCCCAGACCAGGAUGAGGAGGAGGGUAUCUGGGCAUAGCCAAACAUGCUCUUAGUUCAGCCAUUUUGUUCAGAACGAUCAUUCAGCCCCUCUUAGAACUUGACCAAAAUAGAAGCAAAUUAAAGUUGUAUAUUGGACACCUGACAGCCCUCUGCCAUGAGCGAGAUCCCCUGAUCCUUCGUGGACUCACUCCACCAGCUUCCUAUAACUUGGACGAUGACCAGGCAGCCUGGGAGAAUGAGCUGCAGAAGAUGACCCAGGAACAACUUCGGCUGGAGCUGGAGAAAGGUGAGCGGGACAAUGCUGAGCUGCAGGAGUUUGCCAAUGCCAUUCUCCAGCAAAUAGCCGACCACUGCCCUGACAUCCUGGAGCAAGUGGUCAACGCGUUGGAAGAGUCCUCCUGACCCCACUCGCUGGGGAGCGGCCAGCCCAGCGGCUCGACCUCAUGGACCCAAGAGCCAGGGAAGGAGACUGCAAGGAAGAGGCACCCCGAAACUUCUCGGCACCAAACACUACAAGCUCGAGCCUAUCUCGCUUCAUACCCUGAGUGUGAGUCUGACACUCUUUCCGCCCUGUCAUCUUAGCCUGCCGCCCUACUUUGGCUGUCGCCGAUGCACUAAUAUUCUUGAGGUCCAGGAUGGGUCAGUGGCCAGGUCUCCAGGAGGAACUGCUGUGCAGUCGUCCACAGUGUAGACUGUGGAAGCUGAUGGCUCUGCCAGACGGCAGGGGGUAGAGCCCCCUGACCCUUUCUCUGUCCUUGCCAUGAA